rnacentral:tRNA from 1 species
GGCGGGGGGGCUUAGUGGUCAGAGCCCUGAACUGGGACUCAGGCAACCUGGGUUCAAAUCCCAGUUCUGCUA